AACGGAGAAAACACAGCGUCAAAGGUGUGCGCCUUUUUUAACGUCACACUUUAUUGUUUCGGUGAAAUGAAUUUCUACAAUGGCGGACUUAGACAAAAUACCGUUACUGUUAAUUUUACUCUCUGCAGUGUUUAAAUGCUUACAUAUACACACAGUUACUGUCCCUCCACACACAGGACUCAGUUCUGCUUCUAUGCGCCAACUUUAUUUACUCUUUCCCACCGAGGCUUCUAGACUUCUGAUUGGCCAACAUUUCUACACGGUUAGGAAUAUAUCGCCACCUGCUGCUUUGGCAUGUUCCUAGCAGCGCUUUCUUUAGUUUUUGGCUUUUACGUGUGGGCGGGAUUUUUUUUAAAAACGAAAACGGAAAAUCUCCGUUUUCAAAAAUACCCGUGUAUGUGUGGACGUAGCCAGAGAUUUAGGUGGACAUUUUUCACAGUUCCGGGAACAUUUUUUCUGGGCUAACAGGCAGCUGUGUGAUCUUUGCAGCACAUUUCUGUUUGUAAUAGCUCUAAAAAAUGUAAAUUCAUUUAAUAAAAGCAGCUGGGUCAUUUUAAAAUGUUCACAGAUCAAUGUAUUAUUUUUAUUCUGAAUAAACAUCAGUUUUAAACCCGACUGAGGAAAACCUGAGUGUUUGGUAAGGUGGUCGGAAAUAAACGAAGCUGUGAUGACGGACGGUGAACAGCAGAGGGCGCAGUGGACCAGCAGGUGAAGCUUGGGGUUGCUUUGUUUUGACGCAUGCUCAAUCAUCCAGGUAAAUAAAUCCCAAAAGUUUGAACGUGUUCACCUGGACGUUUCGUCAUCAUCACGUCACUCUUCAGAGUCAGCUGACUGCAGGUUUCCGCCAUAUAAACAGGACACAAUGAAACUAGGAUUUCUUUAGUUUUAAACUUAAAACCGUUUUAAUGACGUCAGAACGUCACACAGGCAGCAGGCCCCGAGCGCGCAAAGUCUGACGUCAGUAGAGUCGCGCACGUGUGAGCGCACGGACGUGCACGGUCUGUCUGUUUCACUUCAGAACUGCUCCAGUGACGCGCGUCCCCGUAUCUGUUUGACAGCCUCGGGCACGCGCAGGGAGUCUGCUCCUUUUAGUGGGGGGAGCGGCCCUCCCUCCUCCCUGCUCGGCCUCAUCGCGGAGCUGCGAUGAGGAUUUGAAGGCUCGGAGCUCCGCGGGCGGCUCGGCGUCACCUCAGCGCCGCUUUGGAGUCACUGGAUCGGACCGGCCGCUCACCGACCCGCCGCUCGGUCUGCUGGAGCCGGAGGCCCGGAGCAGGACCGCGUGUGUCCGCGGAGGGACCCCGCUCCUGCUCGGGCUUGCGCUGGGAGGCUCGCGGACGGGAUUCGGAAUCCGGGACCGGGACCGGGACUUGGAUGCGUGUUUGGCCCCGCGGGAGGCAGCGGGAGUCCGCGAGGAGAGCCGGGGCCGAUGGCGCAACGGUAUGAAGAGCUCGCCCACUACGGGCUGGAGGUGGUGGGUGGGGUGUAUGGAGACCCUCCCCACCACCACCCUCACGCCGCUGCAGCUGCACGUUCCCUGCAAGCGGUUCACCUGGCCACCGCCGCCGCCGCCACCUACCCUCCACACCAGUACGCCCAGUCCACUCACAGCAGUGGCGGCAACAUGGCCACCACAGCCGGGGACGCCGUCAAGAGGGACAAAGACGCUAUUUACGGACAUCCUUUAUUCCCGCUGCUCGCACUCAUCUUUGAGAAAUGUGAACUGGCAACCUGCACGCCGAGGGAGAGCGCCGUGGCCGGGGGAGACGUCUGCUCCUCCGACUCCUUCAGCGAGGACAUCGCCGUCUUCUCCAAACAGAUCCGCUCGGAGAAGCCGCUGUUUUCAUCCAACCCAGAGCUCGAUAACUUGAUGAUUCAGGCGAUCCAGGUGCUGCGUUUCCACCUCCUGGAGCUGGAGAAGGUUCACGAGCUCUGCGAUAACUUCUGCCAUCGAUACAUCAGCUGUCUGAAAGGCAAAAUGCCGAUCGACCUGAUUAUAGACGACAGAGACGGGAACAAGUCAGAUGGCGAGGACUUUGUCAGGUCGUCGGCGAACCUCGUGGAUCGGGUUUCAUGGAGCAGAGAUCACGACAACUCUGCGUCAAUCAGGUCGACCGGGACGCCGGGACCAGCCAGCGGAGGACACGCGUCCCAUAGCGACGACAACAGCAGCGAGCCAGGUGACUGCCUGGAUAACGGCGUGGCGUCUCCCAGCACGGGUGAUGAAGACGACCCCGACAGGGACAAGUCGCACAACAAGAAGAGAGGAAUCUUCCCCAAAGUGGCCACCAACAUCCUGAGAGCCUGGCUGUUCCAGCACCUGACGCACCCGUACCCGUCGGAGGAGCAGAAGAAGCAGCUGGCUCAGGACACCGGCCUCACCAUCCUGCAGGUCAACAACUGGUUCAUCAACGCAAGGCGGCGGAUUGUUCAGCCCAUGAUCGAUCAAUCCAACAGAGCAGUGAGCCAAGCACCGCCGUAUGGCCCAGAUGGCCAGCCAAUGGGAAGCUUCACGGUGGACGGUCAGACGCCCAUGGGAAUCAGACCGCCUGGUCCGAUGGGUGGUGUAGGGAUGGGGAUGGGCGUGGAGGGACAGUGGCACUACAUGUAGCACCACCGCCUGCACCCUGCAGCCAGAGGAGCCGCCCGGCGUAGCAGGAAACCACCGACUAUGAUCAGGUCUGCAGACCUCCAUAGCGUGGAGCGGGACCCCACGCCUCUUCACCCCCACCCAUCAGCUCUCCGCCCUGUGGGCGUGGCCUGAUGAGGAAACACCUGAGCUUGCCUCUGUUCUCGGCGGGCCUUCUCAGAGCGCUCCACGGACUAAAAAGAGAAACGUGAGGACAGACGGCGAUCGUAAAGGCAAAGACGAACGCCGUCCACCGCGCGUUUCUGGAUUUGAUCACUUCCUGUGAUGUAACCGCCCAGAACGGACAGAUCUGCAGCUCGCUAAUGGACUCCUGAAGCCGUUUGCUCUGCAGACAGAGCGAACCUGUGACGUGGACGGACAGUUUUGGACCGUAGACCCCCUCAGACCUCCCACUCCGUAAAUAAAACUGAUUCUGUGGAUUUCUGAGUCUGAUUUUUGACUCUUGCUGCGUUUGGUGCUUCACUGAAAUAAAACGUCAGCACUUCAGUUUAUUGUUCAGCUCAGCUGUGACACGUUUCUAUCCAAGAGUUAAAAAAUCCACUCUGGAAAAAAACUUAAGUAAAAAACUAAAUAAAGUGAGAAUGAGACUUCUUUUAAGGUUGAAUUAAAACUUAUUUUGAACUGCGGGCAUCAUUCAGCUCCCGUGGAUCAGGUAAACAGUGCAAAGAUGUUUAACUGCACAUUUAAUCCUGAAAUAUGAUCAUGUGAUUCCUGCUGUUACGGGUUCAAAAUAUUGGGGAUGGAUACAUGAUUCUAAUGUAAUGAUAAAAUAACAGUAAAAUAUCUCUUCUCACUGCA